rnacentral:rRNA from 1 species
GUAGUAGUACAAUACUUGAUGACGAGUGGCGCACGGGUGCGUAACGCGUAUGCAACUUACCUCUAACUGGAGAAUAGCCUUCCGAAAGGAGAAUAAUACUCCAUAAUAUUACGAUGUGGCAUCACAUUGUUCUUAAAGCUUCGGCGGUUAGAGAUGGGCAUGCGUCUGAUUAGCUUGUUGGUGAGGUAACGGCUCACCAAGGCAACGAUCAGUAGGGGGCCUGAGAGGGUUAUCCCCCACACUGGUACUGAGACACGGACCAGACUCCUACGGGAGGCAGCAGUGAGGAAUAUUGGUCAAUGGACGAAAGUCUGAACCAGCCAUGCCGCGUGCAGGAUGAAUGCCCUAUGGGUUGUAAACUGCUUUUAUAUAGGAAUAAACCCCUUUACGUGUAAAGGGCUGAAGGUACUAUAAGAAUAAGGACCGGCUAACUCCGUG